GACGAACGCUGGCGGCGUGCUUAACACAUGCAAGUCGAACGGUGAAGCGCCUUCCUUUUUGGUGGGUGUGGAUGAGUGGCGAACGGGUGAGUAACACGUGAGUAACCUGCCCCCUUCUUCUGGAUAACCGCAUGAAAGUGUGGCUAAUACGGGAUAUUCUGGGUCUGUCGCAUGAUGGGUCUGGGAAAGAUAUUGUUUCGGUGGGGGAUGGGCUCGCGGCCUAUCGGCUUGUUGGUGGGGUGAUGGCCUACCAAGGCGGUGACGGGUAGCCGGCCUGCGAGGGUGGACGGUCACACUGGGACUGAGACACGGCCCAGACUCCUACGGGAGGCAGCAGUGGGGAAUAUUGCACAAUGGGCGCAAGCCUGAUGCAGCGACGCCGCGUGAGGGAUGGAGGCCUUCGGGUUGUGAACCUCUUUCGCCAGUGAAGCAGGCCUGCCUCGUUUGUGGGUGGGUUGACGGUAGCUGGAUAAGAAGCGCCGGCUAACUACGUG
rnacentral:rRNA from 1 species